rnacentral:rRNA from 1 species
UACGUAGGGGGCGAGCGUUGUCCGGAUUCAUUGGGCGUAAAGCGCGCGCAGGCGGCCGCGGGAGCCCGGCGUGAAAGCCCCCGGCUCAACCGGGGGAGGCCGUCGGGGACCUCGGGGCUGGAGGCCGGUAGGGGCGAGCGGAAUUCCCGGUGUAGUGGUGGAAUGCGUAGAGAUCGGGAGGAACACCGGUGGCGGAGGCGGCUCGCUGGGCCGGUCCUGACGCUCGGGCGCGAAAGCGUGGGGAGCGAUCCGG